AUACAGUUAAAUAUGGGGGGAGCAGCUCUUUACACUGUGUCUCAUCUGUUCCCUGGCACUGCCCAUGUACCAGCCCAUUCCCCGUGCCUUUGAACCACCGACCAUCAUAGCAGGGGCAGGAGCUGGGAACUGAAGGCAGGCUGUGGUGAGGACCAUUUGCUCCUGGGACACAAAGUACUCAAGCCUCUUCACCAGAGCACAGCAGAUACCACAGUACUGAGAGCGUAUCCUGCGUGACAAUCGUGGCAGAAAAAAAGGGUGUUCGUACUCAAAGGGCAGAGCACUUUAUUCUUUGCGGGAUCACAAGGGGGAACAGCCAGCCCAGGAGCUCGCAAGGGGCUGGAGCCAUGUGCAGGCAAACCCAGCAGUGCCCGGCAGUGUCUGAAGUUCUCCAUCCCUCCAGAGGAUGUCAGCGUGGAGCCACCAAAAAAGGCGAUCUCUGUGACCCAAAUCCGGCGGCUGUGAGGAAACGACAGCGAGCUCUGCGGACACAGCCCCGGAGCUGCCCGCCUGCUUUCCCACAGCAGCACCUCACUGGGCACAAUUUACAGGUUAAAACUCCAGCAUUACAGGUGCUGCACAAGCCUGGUAAACCAUCCUGCAUCCUAGGAAAUUCUGCUCUGGAUCAACAAGACAUGCCAGAAGGAUGACAUAAGAAGCAAACCAGUGGCAAGGGAUGGAUAGUGUAGCAGAAUACUGACAGGGCUAUCAUGGGAAUAAAAUGUAAAGAUGCUAUCAAUGUCACAUCAAGAUUGUACAAUCAAAAGGUGAUAAAUGAAAACAUUAAGAUUCCUAUGACAACUUCCUGAAAAUGGCAAUGCAGCUGUCUUAUUUACAGUAAGGUCUAUAGCUGAAAACACAUUUACAAGAGCAUUUGGAAGUAGGUUUUGAAAAAUACCCAGGAAUGAGAACAUGAUGCAUAAGAGAGCUGAAUUACCACCGCUGUUGGAUCUCUAGGUUUCUGGUUUUAAUAAUCACUCUCAGAAUAUCUGUUAGACUUUAGAAAAGAAACAGGGAAAAUGAAACAUGGGGAGAAAAAUGCAAAAUCCCUGGCAAAACAUCAGGUUGCCCUAACUAAUAAUAACCUUUUGGUAGCAGCUGUUGAUACAGACUAAGAAGUGUAUGCUUUGCAAUCCCCUUAUGCCCUGAGAGUGUGAGUGCUCAGACACUGAAACUUCACAUGCACUGUCUAUGGGGAUCAGCACUCCUGUUAAAUUCCUAAGUUUCCCCCAUCAAACUUAUUCAAACACCCAAGAAAGUCAGUGACUGCCUUAGAUUUUGAAUCUGGGAUAAACACACCAUGUUUUUGAUUGGAAAACCGAUACAUGAGCAAAAUUUGGCAAUUAUAAAAAACAUUUUCCCACAUCACUCAAAGCAGCAUAGGGUCUCCCCUGUCAAAAGACAGAAAAUAAACUCACCUUUGUCUAGAGAAGUAGAGACCUUGCAAGCCUGGGAAAUUGUACAUUCAAGGGCAAUGUGUCAGGCUAUUAUGAAUGAGGAAAACAAGGCUCUAGUACCAGAGCUCACUACAAAAUAGGCUGGCCUAAUAACAUUCAGCUCUUGGUUGCGUGGUCACUGCCUACUGCCAGUCACAUCAAGGAUAAGUAUUAAUGGCCAAAGUCAUUGUAGUUACAGAAUUAGGUAGGAGGAAGAAAAAAGCAGCAGCAGGCAGGCAGAAGUCCUUUUUUUUUAUAUGAAUAAAAUUUUAUUGAAUUUUAUACAAUUAGAAAGAACAAAGAAAGAGGAGCAAACAGUCUUAUGGAGGGUAGGAACCAGAAGAGCUUUCCCAGUAGAGGAGGGCACCUGCUGAGGGCAGUGUUCCUGUAAAUGUCACACAGGGGUUGUUACAAAAGCAGAGAGAAUGUGUCUGAGCUUUUCUUUGAUUGUUUUGGGUUUUUUUUGCUUCCCACAUUAGGGUUUCUAAAGCCACUCUUUUUCCCUCAUCAAUCCUACCACCCAGCAGCAAAGUGAGCAGACAGGCAGGAAGGAGGACUGCUCCAGUGGAAUGGGUGCACACACAGAGCAGCGCCUGCCUGCACCACCAGGGGGGUUUGCACCCAUUCUGGAUGCAGUGCUGUGGAGGGGGACAGACGGGAAAUUGGAUUAUUUUUAUCUUCUUUUUCUUUUCUUUUCCUUUUUUUUUUUUUUUUUUUUUUUUUUUUUUUUUUU